ACAAGGGAGGACGUUGCUGCCUCUCAGUCGCGCAGGAGCAGAGAGCGCGGCUUCCCAGAGAGACCACCGAAGUUAAUAUGGGGGACGGCAAACCCAUAUUAGGCGGGGCUUUCUGCCCUUCAGUCCUCCAGGAGCAAAGAGUUCAGCUUCCUAGAGAGGCUGCCAAAGCAGAAGGCAGGCAUUUUCUGCCUUUCAAUCAGGGUCCCGCUUCCUAGAGAGGCCACUAAAAACAUGAGGCAGAAGGGAGGCGCUUGGGGCUCUCAUUCCUCCAGGAGCAACGAGUUGAGCUUCCUAGAGAGGCCUAAAGGGUUAAUAUGUGGGGAGAAGGAGGUUAGAAGAAGCCAUAUUUCCAAGGUUUUGGGGCAGUGGAUAAAAGGCUCCAGGUCCUUCUUGAGGUGAUGACCAUGUAUUUCACCGAGGAGGGGUGGGAUCUCCUGGAUCCUGCCCAGAGGACUGUCUGCAAGGAAGUCAAGGUGGAGGAUUAUGGGAACAUGGGAUCCAUUCUGGAUACCAAAAAAGCAGGACCUCAACUCCCGUUCUCCUUAAUGCACAACGUAUGUGCGGCCACUGAGAACAACGGGGCUUGCCAUCCCAGAUCAGCCUGCGGAUACAGAGGUCUGACUGUACUGUGCUUUUAAACUGAUUUUGGGUUUUAUAAAAAAUACCCACCGAGAUGUAUCAUGCCCCUUAAGAAGCUUCCUGAUCCAACCAAUGAAACCUGAAGGCCCGCCUAAUAAACAUGCACAACACAGAGAGAGCGGACUGAGUUCAAUAGACCUGGGGCAGACACCCAGAAGGCCCUCUCCAAUCUCCUCACCUGAUAAGUCUGUGAGGCUGGUGGGCUGGAAAGCAAAGCCCUCCACUGCGGAUCACAAGACUUGGGUGGAUUCAUAUGAGGAGUUACAGGUUUUCAGACUUUCUUGGGGAGGAAGCACUGGGGGGGGGGGAAGAGUCUUUGACAUCUCUUGCCCUUCCAAUGUGCAAGGAAGAGAAAGAAUAUCUCAGGAAAACUGCAUCAAAAUUUAACUAUUGUUCAAUCAACUUGAUUGAAUGAAUCAAGUCAACUUCUGACUUUAUGAACAUGAGACCAUAUUAUACAAGUCUGCAGAACUGAGGGUCAUAAAAACUUUUUUUAAAAUGUAUGCUGGUUGUAUAGGAAUUUGGUAUUCUAAAUCCAAAAAAUGGCCUCAGAUUUGACUUGCUUUGACAUUUCUGUGUUGUAACAAAUGACUGAAGGAAAUUAUUCUGCCAAGAAUUAUCCUGCAAAGGGUAAGAAAGGGGUUAAAGUCUUCUCAAAGACUUUUAAAAGAUGUUAAUCGACUGAUACGUUCAAAACACUCAAAGAAAUCUCACUGGGACAUUAGAGUCAAAGAUGAAUCACAACAGAAUCAAUUUUUAAAAACUGAAUUUGUAAAAGAAUGGUGUGUGGUACAACAUUUGCGUUGUGUUUUUCAAAUUCCGCACCCCCAAAAAACA